AGUGGAUGUUAUUUUUAUUUAUUGAAAACUUUACUUACUGUAGUUCUUUCGCCCGGGAUAUUAAAAUACUCGGUUUCAGCGCGGGAAAGGAAUCAUUUUAAAUAAAAGAAUUCUAUUUAGACGUUAUUUAA